rnacentral:rRNA from 1 species
UACAGAGGAUGCAAGCGUUAUCCGGAAUGAUUGGGCGUAAAGCGUCUGUAGGUGGCUUUUUAAGUCCGCCGUCAAAUCCCAGGGCUCAACCCUGGACAGGCGGUGGAAACUACCAAGCUGGAGUACGGUAGGGGCAGAGGGAAUUUCCGGUGGAGCGGUGAAAUGCGUAGAUAUCGGAAGGAACACCAGUGGCGAAAGCGGCUUCCUGGUCCAGCACCGACGUUCAGGCACGAAAGCGUGGGGAGCAAACAGG